UAAUUCAUGGUUUUACAUUCAAAAGUUUGAACAAAACUGUUUUUUUUGUUUCUGAUUUGUUAAACAUUUUGUUCUAAAUCUCCAUUGUUGAGUGCGAGAUUCUUGAUGACGCUGCCCGACUCCUGCGUGAUAGUAUCAUGAUGUCCAAGGACCUCAUGACGAAAAAGAAUUGAAAAAAAAAAUGAUGAAAACUUCAAAACGAUAAAAAAGAUAAAAGUCAAUCAUUAAAAAAAGAGAGUUCAGAAUAAAGAAGAUAAGAGAGAAAUGAUAGUGGGUCCUACUAAAUUAGUAUAUAGUUAUGUUUUAACUUGAAAAACUAAACGAAAUGUGAUAAAGUUAGGAAAAAGUACCUUAGUAGCUGAAACUGCCUUAUUUUAUUAUAAAUAACUCAAAACUGUCUUAUAGUGUAAUUCUUUCUAAGUAAAAUAUGUGGCAAGGUUUUAAAAAUAGAGAGAGUAUAUAUUUCAUGUAUUUUAUCAACGUGACCGAAAAAUCCGCAAGUCGACAGUGUCACGUGUCGUCUUAUUGUUGGGUUGAAAUCCUACCGACAAACAGAUCCUAGUCGGGUCCACGUGCGUAAUGAGAUCACUUCAAUGUCCUUUACUUCAAUGUCCCUUUUGUCUAAUUACGACGCUUAAAUUUGUUAAUACAUCACUUCUGUGCAAUCAAUAGUUGCUAAUACAUCACUCAGUAGUCCGUGUACUAUGCAAUGAUCCCCAAAUUAGUUUUUUUUUUUUUUUUUGGUAAACUUCCCAAAUUAGUUACGUACAAAUAUGAUUUGCUAAGAAAACCUGCCUUCCAUUCAGAAAUCUUUGCGAAAGGUCUGAUUUAUCAAUU
rnacentral:lncRNA from 1 species